rnacentral:rRNA from 1 species
GAUUUCUGGCUGAGCAUCCUAGCCCGCUGGCUUCGGUCAGUGAGUGCUGGUAUGUAUUAGCCAUCCUUCUAGAAAGCUGUGCGUACCGUUUACUCGGCCGCGCGCAUGCGAUCUAGAUCUUUUACUUUGAAAAAAUUAGAGUGUUUAAAGCAGGCUUACGCCAUGAAUACAUUAGCAUGGAAUAAUAAUAUAGGACUUCGGUUCUAUUUUGUUGGUUUCUAGGACUGAAGUAAUGAUUGAUAGGGAUAGUUGGGGGUGCUAGUAUUCAGCGGCCAGAGGUGAAAUUCUUGGAUUCGCUGAAGACUAACUAUUGCGAAAGCAUU